rnacentral:lncRNA from 1 species
AUAAGCAACUACUUGCACAUAUACAAAAAGUUGAAGAAUAUAUAAGUAUUAUUUUUGAGUGUCUACCAUCUAAUAAAUUACAAAUACAAAAUGAUAAGAAAUUUUUAAUUGAGCGUUUUUGUGAUUUUUUUGUUUAUUAUAAUUGCCAUAAAUUUAUAUUAACACUAAUAAAAACGCAAUGUGAAAAUAAAAUAAGUUCGUUUUUUACAAGUUUGGAUGGACAAAUAACUAUUAAACAGUUUGGAUUUGCAGAAAGUUUUUUAGAAUAUUUUAUCAAUACGUGGAAUAACUUUGUAUCUGUUAUUUUACAUUUAGAAGAUAUAUUAUCAUCUUUUUUUUUAUAUAAUAAAAUUCCUUUAAAAUGUAAAAAUAAACCUGUUAAUAUAUUUGUUAAUUUGUGGGAAUUCUAUAUGCACAAAUUUACAAGAAUAAAACACUUAUUCAUGUUAAGUAUUUGUGAAUAUUUAAAACUGGAUAGAAAAUAUAGCCAGCAAAAUUUUUAUGAGUAUAUAUGUAUGGAUGUAUAUGAAAAUCAAACCAAAUAUAAAGAAAUUAAUGAUAAUAAAUUUAGCACAUCUAGGUGGAAUAAAUGGACGAAUGAUGAUUAUUUAAAAAAUCCUUUGAAUGAAUUCAAAAAGGAAGCUCUUGAUAUUAUGAAUGAAAAUGAUGAUGAGUGUUUUAUGAAAAUAAUAUCACAUUAUAAUUAUCAUUAUUGUGGUAGUGUCUUGACGGAUUCUUUACAAAAAACAGCAGACAAUAAUAGUAAUGUCACACAUGGUAAUAAAAACAUUGACAAUGUCAAUAGUAAUGAUAAUAAUGACAAAAAUAGUAAUUCAUAUAAAAUAAAAAGUGAACUAUUAAUACUAAGUAAAGGUAUACUAGAUAAAUUAUCUAUGUAUAACGAGUUUGAAGCUAUAUAUUUAAAUGAUGUCUAUAUGUAUUAUGAAAAAAUGAUUACAGAUUAUGACAUAUUCAUAAGAGAAUGUGGUAACGCCGAUAGCAAUAGUAACAAUUAUAUUUAUGAUUUACCAAUUAUAAUUGAAAAAACUUUAUCUCAUGAAUAUUUAAGAUGCUCAAGAUUUUUGAAAUCUCGUACCCAAUAUUAUUUGAUAAAAAUAUUAAAUAAACUUUUAGUUAUUAAUCUUAAAGAAAAAUUAUUUGAUGAAAAAUAUAUUAAAGAUUGUAUUAUUAAUGAAAAAUAUGAUUCUUUACGUAGCUUACAUAUAUUUUCUGACAAUUUAAAUAUCGAACUAGAAUUUUCUAAUUUAUUUUUCAACGCCAGUGUACAAUUAGGUAUUAAUUUAAUUAAUAAUUUAAUUAAUAAAAGAAAUGAUAUUAAUCUAUUA